GGCGUGAACUGGUCCUCGAUGUCAUGUACUUGUCUCUGAUGGAGAAAGUAAAAUCCUCCUCCGAGUGCGCCCGAUAUCACCAGAGGAAGAAUUAAAAACAACCAAGGAUAUUUACCGAUGCAACGCCCAAGUAUCUUAAAGGCAGCUGCAACAGGCUUUUCAACGCAGUUUGUUUUACAAUAUUACACGGCUCUUCAGAGAUGUAGUGUGGCAGUCCCAGUAUGGCUGCAGUCCUCAUCCUCAUGUUCGAGUCCUGUGAGACAAGAAAAGAUGCAACUUUGUACGCAUCAAGAAGUGGCUGAACCAGGCCAUCGAGCCCAUCCAGUUAAAUCGCCUUCAGAUGGAUCAGGUAAGUAGUUUAUUUCCCCCUUCUUCGAUUUCUUUAGACGCUUCCCUUUUUCACCACUU